rnacentral:rRNA from 1 species
UGGGGAAUUUUGGACAAUGGGGGCAACCCUGAUCCAGCAAUGCCGCGUGAGUGAAGAAGGCCUUCGGGUUGUAAAGCUCUUUUGUCAGGGAAGAAACGGUAGUAGCGAAUAACUAUUACUAAUGACGGUACCUGAAGAAUAAGCACCGGCUAACUACGUGCCAGCAGCCGCGGUAAUACGUAGGGUGCAAGCGUUAAUCGGAAUUACUGGGCGUAAAGCGUGCGCAGGCGGUUGUGUAAGUCAGAUGUGAAAUCCCCGGGCUCAACCUGGGAAUUGCAUUUGAGACUGCACGGCUAGAGUGUGUCAGAGGGGGGUAGAAUUCCACGUGUAGCAGUGAAAUGCGUAGAUAUGUGGAGGAAUACCGAUGGCGAAGGCAGCCCCCUGGGAUAACACUGACGCUCAUGCACGAAAGCGUGGGGAGCAAACAGGAUUAGAUACCCAGGUAGUCCCUGAGCGGGC